rnacentral:lncRNA from 1 species
AUGAAGCCUCACAGGUGGCAGCCUUCGGAGAGAAUACAAGGCGUCUUCACCAAACUUUCCUGGACCCCCACUACUCACAGGAGGGCGUUCCAAUCAGCCCGCCUGGCAGGCCCCGACCUUGGGUGCCCCCUCCCCAUUCUGGGCUGCGGGGAACCCAAGCUGUCCCCACCACACGUCCCCAGGAGCCUCCUCUCCAUCAGCGCUGUCCUCCUCCAAGGGCUCCAGGAACAGUCCCGGCCUCUCCCCGGCCUCCUCUCCUCUCCUCUCCACCCGGAGCCCUCUGUUCUCACCCGGUUCCAGGUGGAUCCCAGCACGGCAGGCGCCUCAAAACCCCCGACCACAACAACAGCGACCCCCGAGGCACCACACCUCCCGCUGGGAGACGAUGACUGGACUGAACGUGGAACAGGGCAGGGCGGCAACACGGCGAAAACAGAAGGAACCGAACCCCCCAGGCUUUUGCUCCUUUUCCAUCCUUUCCCCAUAUCCGUUCCCCACUGCCACCCUUCCCAACUGACCUCCUUCUCUUUCUCACGGUGUAACCCGCAUUCCCUCCGCUCUGGCCCCCCGCAGUCCCACUCCUUACCCGGCAAACAAGACGCCACCCAGCGCCCCCCAGGUGGCCCCGCGGAGCCGCCCCGAGGCGCCCCCUGCCCGCACCGCGCAGCCGCCCCGAGGCGCCCCCCCGCACCGCGCAGCCGCCCCGAGGCGCCCCCUGCCCGCACUGUGCAGCCGCAUCGCCCUGUCGUGGGAGCCCAGGGCGGGUUUGGGUGGAGGCCGCACUCCGCUCCCACAACUCCACUGAAUAGUGUUGGUCCCCGAGUUCGUUCAUCAAGGGAGAGAAACGUGGUAUUCACCAACAGUGCAGUCUCUCUCAGGGGAGCAAGUUUUGAUAAGAAAAUAAGAUUUCGGUCCAAAUCAUCACAUGUAGGAAGUGUGUGCUUGUCAGGGUCCCUACAGGGUAGUGAGCCCGACCCAGGCCGGGGUUUCCCUUCUCCCGUGUGCACCAGCGCAGCCUGCAGAGCUUGGCCCUGA